rnacentral:misc_RNA from 1 species
AUCUGCAAAGUACAGUCAUCGGGUUUGUUUACAUUACGUGAUGGAGUCUUUACAGAUUCUGCUUGGUACUAUGUAGAUACAAUAGGUGCUAGACAUUUAUUAAUCUAUUAUAAAUAUAGGCCUAUAUAGGCUAGUUAAAUUGAAUAUUUUAUUAUUAGUCUAGGUGCCCAACGGUAGAUCUAGUACUCAGGUGCUCAUCAUUUUAUGUUGUAAAAUGUUUGAUUAUAUGUGUUUAUCACCUUUGAUAGGGCCAAGGGUGAAAGUUAUUGACAUAAUUAUACAGCUAUUGAAAUAAUUAUUCACUGAUUCAAUGCUAAAUUUUGCAAUAUUGCGCUCUAAUCGAAAUGAGUCAUUCUUUCAGUUAGAUAUUAACAUACUGAACUUUUUGGUCCAUUUGACAGAUAUCUACUUACUUCGAAUUAGCAUAGAGCAUGUUGUUUCCUCGGAAGUACCUAUUACCUUAGGUACGAUAUGUGUACAUGUAGUCUAUUUAUUAAACAUUAGGUAACAGACUAGACAGUAGCUAACAUGUACGUGUGAUCUCAAAAUUAUAUGAAUGCUAUAUGAAUAUCAUUUUUCAAAUAUUUGAAUAGCUCUAUAUAUACUCCAGUUUAUUUUGUCAGUAUUUUACCGGGAUGUUGACGUCAGUCACCACUACCUAAAGCGACAGAAGGCUGGAAGAGAAUCCUGCAUGUAGACGUAUAAUUGGUGGCGUAUCUCAUGACCUAGCCGACUGCUUUUUAGCCGCUGAAAAUUUGGUGUUUAUUCUAAGAAAGUCUUAAGUGAUAGUACAACAUCUACAAGCUAUUUGCUGUGACGGUGGAAAAGAUAUGGAGAAAGUUUUAUUUCUUAUACUACAUGCAUGCGUUUUAGAACUAGUUGAGGGCCGCUUAUAUUUGACACUAGCCAGCAGCGACUGCGGGAAAAGUUAUAAUAUGGAAGAUAUAGAAGAGGAGGCUUAUGUGACGUAUAAUGGCGGAUGGUUAGGUAAAGAGGAGUGCACAGUAGAGUUCGUUAACUAUCAAGUAUACUCGAAGCAAACCUGUAUUAAACCAGUUAACCUCACGAUUGGCUGUUCUACAAAGGUGGAAUACCACAGAUACUUUCCUUCUCAGUUCGCGGAUCCAGAGAAAGUACUUACCUGCGGAGCUACGUAUUCUGACGAGUGGUGUGGACCAUUGACGACACAGCGGUUUUAUUUAGUGUUCCGGACAUCUUGGAUGGAUUCUGAUGAUUUUGUUAAAAUGCAUCUGUAUCUAAAAUAUUAUCCGAGAGAUGAUGAUGGUGAUGAUGGAGGUGAUGGUGAUGGUGAUGAUGACUAUAAUGAUGAUACGUCGGACCAAAGUUCAAGCAGUACUAUAUUUGGUAUUAUUUUUCCAGUGGUAUGCGCGGUUGUGGUACUGUUAGUGAUAAUAAUCGUUUUCAGUGUAAUAGGCUGUAAAAGGCUUCAGAGACCAAGUAGUUUGAGAACUCCAGAUAUGUAUCGGCCUGCUAAUGGACAAAUGGAUAUGCAUACAGGUACAGGUUAUAUCACUCAAGCGCAGCCCAUGGUUGGUUACCAACCUCCGCAGCAGUCUCAGUUCCAGCCAACAAUUCAAGGCAGUUACCAGCUGCAUCCUACGCAAAGUAACCUCCAAGUUCCUCACCAACAAGGAAGUAGUCAGCAGACUGUUGGACGCCAUAGUCCUGCCGAUUUUCAAGGAAGAUUUCCAAGUCCCUCAGUCCAUUUUGUUAGCUUUUUUUUAAGCCGAUGUGGAUGUCAGUCAACACUACCUAAAGAAACAGAAGGCUGGAAGAGAGUCAUGCAUACAUAAUUCAAAGCUUGAUGCAAUUCUAAGAAAAUUUAAUGCGAUAGCACAGCACCUGUAAGCUGUUUGCAGUGUGAGUGGAAAGGACAUGAAGAAAGUUGUUUUUCUUAUACUAAUUGGAUGCGUAUUGGAACUAGUUAUGGCCCGCUUAGAUUUGACACUGUCCAGCAGCGACUGCGGGAAAACCUAUGACAUGGAAGAGAUAGACGAGGAGGCGUAUGUAACGUAUAAUGGCGCAUGGUUAGGUAAAGAGGAAUGUUCAGUACAGUUCGUUAACUAUCAAGUAUAUUCGAAGCGAAUCUGUGUUAAACCAGUUAACCUCAAGAUUGCUGUUCUACAAAGGUGGAAUACCACAGGCACUUUUUUUCUAAAUUCUGGGAUCCAGAGAAAGUACUUACCUGUGGAGCUACUUAUUCCAAUGAGUGGUGUGGACCAUUGAGGACAACGCGGUUUUACUUACUGUUAAGGACAUCUGGGAGGAAUUCUGAUGAUUUUGUUAAAAUGCAUUUGUAUUUAAAAUUUUAUCCGAGAGAUGAUGAUGGUGAUGGCGACGAUACGUCGGACGAAGGUUCAAGUAGUUCUUCAUUUGGUAUUGUUUUUCCAGUGGUAUGUGCGGUUGUGGUAAUAUUGGUGAUAUGUAUCGUUUUCUGUGUAGUAGGAUGUAAAAGGCUUCAGAGACCGAGUGUCUUGAGAACUCCAGAGAUGUAUCGGCCUACUAGUGGACAAAGUAAUAUGCAGACAGGUCCAGGAUAUGCCACUCCAGCGCAGCCUAUGAUUGGUUACCAACCUCCGCAGCAAUCUCAGUUCCAGCCAACAAUUCAAUGCAGUUACCAGCUACAUCCUGUGCAAAGUAACUAUCAAGUUCCUCAACAACAAGAAAGUAGUCCAGCAACUGGCUAUCGGCCUGUUCCUCAGGGAGGAAUCGGACGUCAUAGCCCUGUCGACUUUCAAGGAAGAUUUCAAAGUCCCUCAGCACCGCCAUUUACCGAUGAAGAUCUCCCGCCAUCGUAUGAAAGUGUUGUAAAGUAAUGGUUCUUUUUUCUUGACUGCUGAUAAAAUAAUGGUGUGUAAGAAAACUGUCAGUUCCUCAGCGAGUUCGAAAUACACGUGCAUACCUCAUACAGUUAUGGUUAUUUGUAUAGAUAAAUAAAUGAUAGCCAUAUUUGUGCCUGAAGCAAUAGAAAUAUGUAAAUGUGCCUGAAGCAAGUGCCAACCAAUUUUUGUUUCGUAUAUAAAGAAAGACAACAUUUAAAUGUUUUGUGCCAUGUGAGUUUUGAUUGCAUUAUUUUGUAAAGUAAAAGAUCUUAUAAUUGUUGUUAAAAUUUCGGCGGUGGUCUUGACGAGGGUUGCAAUGUUUUCGAUUAUUUGAUCCGCCUUUCCGUAACGUGGUUUUCCCUGAUUUCUCUUUAAAUAAAAGAUUAUUGAUAUUACUCAUUAUUUUAAAGAGCUCAGAGGAUUGUAAUAGAGAAUUUUUAAAUUUUCAGUAUAUCUUGAUUGCGUUUAAAUUCAUCGUCAAAAUCAAUGUUGGUUGGAUAUUUUCACUGUAGUUGAUAGCCAGCAAGUUUUGACACACAAAAUUUAAAUUGUACUUUAUUUGCGAGUUGUUUUGCAUAAAGUCAUACUUCCAAGCAAAUACUUUGUAUUGUUUACAAAUAUUCAACUUUAUUCCUUGAAUAAUGUGGCGUCAGUAUGACUUAUCCUUUAUAUCUAACAUACGGACCUAACAUAUUUCUGCGGAAAGUCAUGAACAAACCGUAUUUUUAAUUUGUUUUAUCGACUGCUUAUUUCUUUUGUGCCUAGAAAGACAUGGAAUUAAAAAACUUAUCAAGUCUCUCUUCAAAAAUACAGACAGUCAACAAGUGACCACAUUUAAACCAAUGAAAAUACUAGACUCUAUGGGAGGUAAACAAAAAGCAAUAUGAUAGUCUCUAUUCUCAAUCUAUGAGAUUAUCUCCUUAGAUUUCACACCAGUUAUGGCAACUAUCUGAAAUAGACAUUCAAGGACUUUGGACUAAUGUAGACGCGGCAUUCGAUGCUUCCAAAUGAUCAUCAUUUUACAUUUCAUUAACUAUCACAUCAGCAACCUUUAAGUGCCGUGUGGCGGCCGUAAAAAGUCUCCCAAUACUUAGGUUUAGUGUUGUUAUAUUAUCAUGAAGUUUAUACAAUAUCUGGGUAAUAUAACUCCUAGGGGGUUGUUGCACUUUCCAUUAACCCGAAACUAAUUCAAACAAACUGAGUCUGCUUUUAUUUUGCUUUCUAUUUUUUACAGAAUUCUUUAACAUUAUGAAGCACCUAUACGCUAAGAGAUUAUACUCUCAGGCGCUCAGUAAGUACCACGCUUGUAUGUAAUUGUCGUACUUGAUUUUCUGAUGUACUAAAUGAUUGGUCAAUGAAUAUUUGUAUCAAAGAAACAUCAGUAUAAGUUCAAAGUACUUUUUAGAAGUGAUUAUUUAUCAAUAUAUUUUACAUAUACAAUUUACAAAAGACUACCAUAACACUAUUCACAGUGCAUUAAUGUUAACCGGUGGUUUGUUUCAUGUUACAUAUAUGUUACAUUAUUUUAUUACCAUUUGUAAAUCUAUGUAUGUAUGGUUGUUUUUUAUUGUAAUUUUUAUUAUUCUUUACAUAUAAAAUUAUUGCUUCAGUAUUUUAUGCUUCUUAAAACUAUGUCAUAUUGUUAUUUAUUUGUACCAACUAUCCAAUAAAAUAUAUUA